GUAAAUUAAGGUAAAUGAAGGUGAACUAAUGGAAAUACAAUAUUAGCCUUGAUACUUUUUAAACAGCUUAAAAGAAACAACGUAUUUUGGUAGAACACAAAAUUAUAUGGCCUGAACAAAACCUUUCCAAUCCACCAAUUUGGUGAGAAAUGGGGGUUUCAGAGGGUUUUAAAAAAACCUCAAAAACUAUCCUUCCCCCUCCGGCCCGCGCCACCCAAAACCCCCCCAAAAAAAAGAAAAAAAAUAAAAUA
rnacentral:misc_RNA from 1 species